rnacentral:rRNA from 1 species
CAUAGGUUAAUGAGGCGAACCGGGGGAACUGAAACAUCUAAGUACCCCGAGGAAAAGAAAUCAACCGAGAUUCCCCCAGUAGCGGCGAGCGAACGGGGAGCAGCCCAGAGCCUGAAUCAGUAUGUGUGUUAGUGGAAGCGUCUGGAAAGGCGCGCGAUACAGGGUGACAGCCCCGUACACAAAAAUGCACAUGCUGUGAGCUCGAUGAGUAGGGCGGGACACGUGGUAUCCUGUCUGAAUAUGGGGGGACCAUCCUCCAAGGCUAAAUACUCCUGACUGACCGAUAGUGAACCAGUACCGUGAGGGAAAGGCGAAAAGAACCCCGGCGAGGGGAGUGAAAAAGAACCUGAAACCGUGU